rnacentral:tRNA from 4 species
GCCCUUGUAGCUCAGCUGGUAGAGCGCCUGAUUUGUAAUUAGGAGGUAACGGGUUCGAACCCCGUCGAGGGCACCA